CAGUCGAGCGAAGCGUAUUUGCGGAAGUUUUCGGAUGGAAGCGGAUGCGACUUAGCGGCGGACGGGUGAGUAACGCGUGGGUAACCUGCCUCAUACAGGGGGAUAACAGUUAGAAAUGACUGCUAAUACCGCAUAAGCGCACAGGACCGCAUGGUCCGGUGUGAAAAACUCCGGUGGUAUGAGAUGGACCCGCGUCUGAUUAGCUGGUUGGCGGGGUAACGGCCCACCAAGGCGACGAUCAGUAGCCGGCCUGAGAGGGUGACCGGCCACAUUGGGACUGAGACACGGCCCAAACUCCUACGGGAGGCAGCAGUGGGGAAUAUUGCACAAUGGGGGAAACCCUGAUGCAGCGACGCCGCGUGAGUGAAGAAGUAUCUCGGUACGUAAAGCUCUAUCAGCAGGGAAGAAAAUGACGGUACCUGACUAAGAAGCCCCGGCUAACUACGUGCCAGCAGCCGCGGUAAUACGUAGGGGGCAAGCGUUAUCCGGAUUUACUGGGUGUAAAGGGAGCGUAGACGGCAGCACAAGUCUGGAGUGAAAUCCCGGGGCUUAACCCCGGAACUGCUUUGGAAACUGUGCGGCUGGAGUGCAGGAGGGGUAAGCGGAAUUCCUAGUGUAGCGGUGAAAUGCGUAGAUAUUAGGAGGAACACCGGUGGCGAAGGCGGCUUACUGGACUGUAACUGACGUUGAGGCUCGAAAGCGUGGGGAGCAAACAGGAUUAGAUACCCUGGUAGUCCACGCCGUAAACGAUGAUUACUAGGUGU
rnacentral:rRNA from 1 species